ensembl:lncRNA
GAGAACGGUUGCAGGUCCUUCCCGUAGCUCCAUCUGUGAAAGGCAGAGCUGGCAGGAACAAUUCUCAAUGCACAAGAGCCUGGGAAGCCAGGCUGAGGAGGAGCUCAUGGGAGCGGAGAGAAGAGCAGCAAAUCCCUCUGUCAACAGGAACUUCAAGGAAACCACUACAGAAGCCUAAGCACAACCCUCUGGAGCAGCUGGCACUACUAUUCCAUUAAAGUCAUUUUUGAAAGUAUACAAUCCAAUUCCCUUGGCUGUCUGCUCCCCUUGGCCCCUGGAAUGGGAACAGAACCCAGGACCUCACACAUGUGAGCCCCAAUUUAAAGAAGAAAGAAGGUGCCUUUUGGUUUUGAAGGUGUGUGAGUAACCAAGGUGUGCAGCCAGCUCCUAUUCUGCAGAUGAUGACUCAGAGGGAGAGAAACCUAUCACUUGCUCCAGGAUGCACAAGAUUUCCAUUCUUGCUGAAAACAUCCACAAUGUGUCUCCAGCCGAGAACACGGAGCUGAGCAGUGAGGUUGAUGCAAGUGAGACUGCCACCAUGAAAUGUAAUCAUCUCUCUUAGACAACGUGGGCUUCUACAACAAAAAAACAUAGGCUGUGGAACUGGAAUAAUAGAUAUUGAUUUCUCAUGGUUCUGGAGUCUGGGAAGUCCAGGUUUGAGCGCUGCUGGCCAUCGGUUUUGGGGUGUCGGGGGGGAGUCCUUCCUUUGGUUUGCAGAUGACUACCUUCUUGCUAUAUCCACACACACCAGAGAAGGAGAGCUCUCUGAUGCCUCUUUGUUGUCUGAACUCUGAUCCUAACAGAUCAGGUCUCUACCCUUAGGAUUUCAUUUCCUUACUGCUUUACUCCAAAUAUAAUCAUACUACGGUUAAUUAACCUUAGCCAUAAUUACUUCUGUCCAAAUAUAACCACACUGAGGGCGAGGGCUUCAACACAGGAAUUUGGGGGAGAAACCACUCAGUCAAUAGCCCCCUUUUUGUAUUCCCUGAAGCUCCAGGUCUCACAUUUACCUGGUCCCACACUACUCAUUUCCCAAGCACAAAGGGCAUGCAUACUUGGUGGCUUGAAUAUGACUCUGCCACUCCUCUACUCUCAGUUGCAUUUUUAGGAAAUUCUUAAAAAAUAACUCCCAGAAAUCAUGAGUAAUUAUAAAACAUAGCAAAAGAAGAAAAUAAAAAGUCAACAACAAAUCCUAUAACCCCCAAAAUAAUAUUUUGAUGUAUAUGCUUCCAGCUAAUCUAUGUAACUACGUACUUAUCUAUCUAUAUUUUUAAUAAAAACUAUAUCUUCCUGUAGAGACAAUCUUGCAGAUGACUCAUAUGCUGAUUACAAUUCAGCUUCAUUUCUGUGCAAAUUGAUGCCAUCAACCAAAUGAUACACCUGAGGAUCUCAUAACCCCAAAACUGUCUUUAACACUAGACUGUCAAAGGAUUUUAGGCACACUUUUUUUUUUUUUGGUACUGGGGAUUGAACUCAUGACUUCGCACUUGCAAGGCAGGUGAGGUGCCACUGAGCUAAAUUCCCAGCCUUUAGGCACACUUUUUAUCAGGACUCCUGUCACCAGGGGGUUCAACUGGAUGGAUGAUCUCAUAUGGGUAUGUACACACACAUACACACACACACACACAAACACAAACACACACGGAACAUGGUUUCCCGAUCAUUGCUCUGAUAUAAGGCAGCAAUCUACCAACCAGAAAGUGGGCCCUCACCAGGUAUUUAUCAUGAUCUGCACGGCUUGGCAUGUGCCCACCAUGGGCAAGACCUCCUUCCACCUCAUCACAUAUCACAUAUCACUCUGUACAGUGGUUAGACUUUAUAAUGACAACAUGAAGGGUGCUUACUCAGGGAAUCUACUUCCUGGAAUCCCUGGCUAGCUUACAUUUUCCUUUUAUGCAUUCACAUAACACCCUUUACCAGGCAUUUACCUAGGUUGCUAUUUAGUGGGUAUGUCUAUAUUUCUAGAUGAGCCACAAUAUAAAUUCUAUGCUCUACACUAUAUCCCCAGCAUCUAACCCUAUGGCUUCACAUAGUAGGCACUUGGUGUUUCAUAUAGGACAAAGCAAAGAAUGAACACCUGGCUUUUUAAAAAAUGUUUUCCGAUGAGAUGGCAAAGCUGAGGGCGUAAGUGUACUUAGGUCACACAGCCAUUUGGAAUGAAGGGACUGAGACCAGGGCCUGGGCUCCUCUUCCUCUACCUGGUGAUUUGCCCCAUGGUGAGGAUUCUUCCCACAAACUGGUGACAGGGGACAAGCUGGGUGGCUGAUUUCCCAAAUUGAACUUUUUAAGCAAAGUCAGGAAAUUGGGUCUUAUUUUCAUGGGGAAAUGUGAAAACAGCAGAAUUGUGAACAGGAUUAAAAGUUAUGAUUUACGUUAAAAGGAAAUUGCUUUUCACUAGAGAAAAUUACUGUGCGUUCUCUAUCUCCAAACACAAUUCCUUCUAUGAUUAUGAAAUCAUAUUCUUUUCUAUAUGCUGUUUUUUCCAUUUGUUUUUGCGUGUGGUAUAUAUAGAAUGAAAAAUAUUUUUUUAAAAAACGAGAAAGAAGG